rnacentral:rRNA from 1 species
AUUGAACGCUGGCGGCAGGCUUAACACAUGCAAGUCGAGCGGGGGAAGGUAGCUUGCUACCGGACCUAGCGGCGGACGGGUGAGUAAUGCUUAGGAAUCUGCCUAUUAGUGGGGGACAACUUCUCGAAAGGGAUGCUAAUACCGCAUACGUACUACGGGAGAAAGCAGCGGAUCUUCGGACCUUGCGCUAAUAGAUGAGCCUAAGUCGGAUUAGCCAGUUGGUGGGGUAAAGGCCUACCAAGGCGACGAUCUGUAGCGGGUCUGAGAGGAUGAUCCGCCACACUGGGACUGAGACACGGCCCAGACUCCUACGGGAGGCAGCAGUGAGGAAUAUUGGACAAUGGGGGGAACCCUGAUCCAGCCAUGCCGCGUGUGUGAAGAAGGCCUUAUGGUUGUAAAGCACUUUAAGCGAGGAGGAGGCUACUCUAGUUAAUACCUAGGGAUAGUGGACGUUACUCGCAGAAUAAGCACCGGCUAACUCUGUGCCAGCCGCCGCAGUAA